CACGCAAAUGAAGUAUGUUUAGAAACAGACUCAGGGAGAAAAUAGGUGUGAACAUCUGAACUAAGUCUGGCAGGUGACAGCCCCGUCUGUCAACGUUUGAGGGGCAGUCACUAGCAAGCUGGGCACCCUGGCAUGGAUACAUUCUGAGUCGUCAGUAUGCUUCCGAUGAAGACUAUGACUCACUGCCCUCCACCAUCUGCUGCACAGGACUCACGAGACUCAGGGCCCCUGCCCCUCCCUGCCCCCCAGGAGUGCUUCUGAGGAACUACAGACAAAAUUAUUUCAUGUGACUCAGGCAGAGAGAGACACAGCCCGGUCUGUUCAUGCCCACUGCUCCCCUCCUGCCUGAGAGACAGGGGUGGGCACUGCCCUGGCCUCUGAGUGACACGUCUUUUCAGGGAUGUGCUAAUGGAGGGAUGGUCCCCUCCUGGCAGGGGUCCUCAGAGCACAGGCUGUGAUUAAGUUCUCAGAGCAGGAGCUGAGCUCAUCAGAGGAGAGUGAGGAGGCAUGGCUCAAUUCCACCUCCGGCCUCUGCAGGGCCCUCCCUGAGCAUACCUAUCUGCAGAGACUCCCAAGGGGUCUCUGGUCCUCUGCCAUGCCAAGUCCAGGCUGGCAUACCCACGUGUUUGCACAGGGCUGCCCUGCCCCAAACACCCAGGCAAAGCUCACCGUCCUUUGCUGAAGCCCAACUCUGCCUCUCGCAUCUGCCUCCUUGAUUGACUCCACUUUUGCCCUGAAUCCUGGUUGGUCCUGAAAUCCCAGAGUUCACAUCAGGUCCUCCCUUUCCAUCAACCCCAUCAUCUAACCCAGCAGGUCUGCCCCUUCCUUCCAUCCUUCUUUUGUGCCCAUGCUUCUGCCUCCUUUUGUGCCCUUUCUUCCACAAGAGCUCUUUCAGGACACCCCUCCCCAGUCUUGCUGACUCCAGGCUGCAGACUUCUCCCCCCACUCCAGGUGGUGUAUUUUCCUAAACAUGUCUUGGUGGCAGCUCCCUGCCCUCCACUGUCAUCUCCUUGGGGUCUACAGCAAAGCCGUGAACUCAUAGGCCCAUGGAGGGCAAACAGAUGACAAAUAGGAAGGAAGCAGGCUCAGGGAGAUAGUGAAGGACAGGGAAGCUUGGUGUGCUGCAGUUGAUGGGGUUGCAAAGAGUUGGACAUGGCUUAGCGACUGUACAAGGCUGAGGGGACUUGAUGAAGGGCCACAGUUCAGAGGGGUGAGAACUAGGGCUGAAUGGAGAAUGCUUGUCCUGUUAGGGGCCGCUAUCACUCAGCAGGAGCCAAGUGUGGCUUAAGGGAGCCAAGAUCCCAACAUGCCAGACCUUUCAGACUUUCAUGAGAACCCAGCUUUGCUUACAAAAAUCUCUUGAUUUAUAGAAGUUGGCAACUAAUCCACAAAUGAAAUUCUGACUAAAGUCCUUGUUCCUGCAUUGCGGUCCAUUCUUGGUCUGGAUCCCACAUGUGAUUCCAGUGCCAUCUCUCCUGACAGCUGACCGCCCUGCCCGUGGCCAGAGCUGCACCAGGCUGUGCUGUGUGCUCAGGCACUCAGUUGUGUCUGACUCUUUGCAACCCCAUGGACUGUAGCCUGCUAGGCUCCUCAGCCCAUGGGAUUCUCCAGGCAAGAAUACCAGAGUAGGUAGCCGUUUCCUUCUCCAGGGGAUCAUCCCAACCCAGGGAUCCAACCCAGGUCUCCCACAUUUCAGAUUCUACCAUCUGAGUCACAAGGGAAGCCCACGCUGUGACACUUGGCUACUCACCAUUCCCAG
ensembl:lncRNA